GGACUCAGACAGGACUGACAGAUGGAUAGCUUUUUCUCGAUUCCAUGGGUGGUGGUGGUCCAUGGCCCUUCUUGGUUGCUGGAGUGAUUUCUCUGGUUAACUCUGAUAAUAAAUGAGACUCUGGCAUGCUAACUAGUUGUGCAACCCCUGAGCGAAUGCGAGAAAAUUUUUCCAAUCUAUCCAUCUGACAAAGGGCUAUCCAGAAUCUACAAAGAACUUAAAUUUACAAGAAUAAAACAACCCCAUCAGAAAGUGGGCAAAGGAUAUGAACAGACACUUUUCAAAAGAAGACAUUUAUGCAGGCAACAAAUAUAUGAAAAAAAGCUCAUCAUCACUGGUCAUUAGAG
rnacentral:ncRNA from 1 species